rnacentral:pre_miRNA from 1 species
AUUCUACUCCCUCCGUCCGAAAAUACUUGUCCUAAAAAUGAAUAAAAUAGAUGUAUCUAUAACUAAAAUAAGUCUAGAUACAUGCAUUUUUAAGACAAGUAUUUUCGGACGGAGGGAGUAUAUG